ACGAACGCUGGCGGCAUGCCUCACACCUGCAAGUCGAACGCUGCCUUCGGGCAUAGUGGCGCACGGGUGCGUAACGCGUGGGAAUCUGCCUUUCGGUUCGGAAUAACUCAGGGAAACUUGAGCUAAUACCGGAUAACGUCGCAAGACCAAAGAUUUAUCACCGAAAGAUGAGCCCGCGUAGGAUUAGCUAGUUGGUGAGGUAAAGGCUCACCAAGGCGACGAUCCUUAGCUGGUCUGAGAGGAUGAUCAGCCACACUGGGACUGAGACACGGCCCAGACUCCUACGGGAGGCAGCAGUGGGGAAUAUUGGACAAUGGGCGAAAGCCUGAUCCAGCAAUGCCGCGUGAGUGAUGAAGGCCUUAGGGUUGUAAAGCUCUUUUACCCGGGAAGAUAAUGACGGUACCGGGAGAAUAAGCCCCGGCUAACUCCGUG
rnacentral:rRNA from 1 species